GAUGAACGCUGGCGGCGUGCCUAAUACAUGCAAGUCGAGCGAACAGAUGAGGAGCUUGCUCCUCUGACGUUAGCGGCGGACGGGUGAGUAACACGUGGAUAACCUACCUAUAAGACUGGGAUAACUUCGGGAAACCGGAGCUAAUACCGGAUAAUAUAUUUAACCGCAUGGUUCAAUAGUGAAAGACGGUUUUGCUGUCACUUAUAGAUGGAUCCGCGCCGCAUUAGCUAGUUGGUAAGGUAACGGCUUACCAAGGCAACGAUGCGUAGCCGACCUGAGAGGGUGAGAGGCCACACUGGAACUGAGACACGGUCCAGACUCCUACGGGAGGCAGCAGUAGGGAAUCUUCCGCAAUGGGCGAAAGCCUGACGGAGCAAAGCCGCGUGAGUGAUGAAGGUCUUCGGAUCGUAAAACUCUGUUAUUAGGGAAGAACAAAUGUGUAAGUAACUAUGCACGUCUUGACGGUACCUAAUCAGAAAGCCACGGCUAACUACGUG
rnacentral:rRNA from 1 species